rnacentral:rRNA from 1 species
GACGUAGGGCGCGAGCGUUGUCCGGAUUUACUGGGCGUAAAGGGCGCGUAGGCGGCCUGUUAAGUCGAACGUGAAAUCCCCGGGCUCAACCCGGGAACUGCGUCCGAUACUGGCAGGCUUGAAUCCGGGAGAGGGAUGCGGAAUUCCAGGUGUAGCGGUGAAAUGCGUAGAUAUCUGGAGGAACACCGGUGGCGAAGGCGGCAUCCUGGAACGGCAUUGACGCUGAGGCGCGAAAGCCAGGGGAGCAAACGGG